AUUGAACGCUGGCGGCAUGCUUUACACAUGCAAGUCGAACGGUAACAGGCCGCAAGGUGCUGACGAGUGGCGAACGGGUGAGUAAUGCAUCGGAACGUGCCCAGUCGUGGGGGAUAACUACUCGUAAGAGUAGCUAAUACCGCAUACGAUCUAUGGAUGAAAGCGGGGGACCGUAAGGCCUCGCGCGAUUGGAGCGGCCGAUGUCAGAUUAGGUAGUUGGUGGGGUAAAGGCUCACCAAGACAACGAUCUGUAGCUGGUCUGAGAGGACGACCAGCCACACUGGGACUGAGACACGGCCCAGACUCCGACGGGAGGCAGCAGUGGGGAAUUUUGGACAAUGGGCGCAAGCCUGAUCCAGCAAUGCCGCGUGCAGGAAGAAGGCCUUCGGGUUGUAAACUGCUUUUGUACGGAACGAAACGGCUCUGGUUAAUACCCGGGGAUAAUGACGGUACCGGAAGAAUAAGCACCGGCUAACUACGUG
rnacentral:rRNA from 1 species